rnacentral:rRNA from 1 species
UACGGAGGGUGCAAGCGUUAUCCGGAUUCACUGGGUUUAAAGGGUGCGUAGGCGGGCAGGUAAGUCAGUGGUGAAAUCUCCGAGCCUAACUCGGAAACUGCCAUUGAUACUAUUUGUCUUGAAUAUUGUGGAGGUAAGCGGAAUAUGUCAUGUAGCGGUGAAAUGCUUAGAUAUGACAUAGAACACCAAUUGCGAAGGCAGCUUACUACACAAUGAUUGACGCUGAGGCACGAAAGCGUGGGGAUCAAACAGG